AACGAACGCUGGCGGCAUGCCUAAUACAUGCAAGUCGAACGAUCACUUCGGUGGUAGUGGCGCACGGGUGCGUAACGCGUGGGAAUCUGCCCUUGGGUUCGGAAUAACAUCGGGAAACUGAUGCUAAUACCGGAUGAUGACGUAAGUCCAAAGAUUUAUCGCCCAGGGAUGAGCCCGCGUAGGAUUAGGUAGUUGGUGGGGUAAAGGCCUACCAAGCCUACGAUCCUUAGCUGGUCUGAGAGGAUGAUCAGCCACACUGGGACUGAGACACGGCCCAGACUCCUACGGGAGGCAGCAGUAGGGAAUAUUGGACAAUGGGGGCAACCCUGAUCCAGCAAUGCCGCGUGAGUGAUGAAGGCCUUAGGGUUGUAAAGCUCUUUUACCCGGGAUGAUAAUGACAGUACCGGGAGAAUAAGCCCCGGCUAACUCCGUGCCAGCCGCCGCCGUAAUAC
rnacentral:rRNA from 1 species